rnacentral:rRNA from 1 species
UAUCUCUGUAGAGUCUGCAUAUCAAUAAGCGGAGGAAAAGAAACUAACUAGGAUUCCCUCAGUAACGGCGAGUGAAGCGGGAAGAGCUCAAAUUUGAAAUCUUCAAGGUUCUACCUUGACGAAUUGUAGUUUAAAGAAGUGUUUUCUGUUGGAGUUUUGGUAAAAGUUCUUUGGAAUAGGACAUCAUAGAGGGUGAGAAUCCCGUAUUUGACCAUUAUUUCCAGCUUUGUGAUACACUUUCAAAGAGUCGGAUUGUUUGGGAAUGCAGUCCAAAAUGGGUGGUAAAUUUCAUCUAAAGCUAAAUAUUGGCGAGAGACCGAUAGCGAACAAGUACCGUGAGGGAAAGAUGAAAAGAACUUUGAAAAGAGAGUUAAACAGUACGUGAAAUUGUCAAAAGGGAAGCGUUUGACACCAGUGUUGUUUUCUCGAAAAUCAAUUAAAAAAGGCAGGAUUUUGUGUUGUAUUGACUUUAUCAGCUUUCUGCACUCUUUUCUUGCUUUUUUUAAUGCACUUUUCGUUCAACAAGUCAACAUCAAUUUCUUUUGUUGUAAAAGAGUCAUUGGAAGGUGGCUUUCACUUCGGUGAAAGUGUUUAUAGCCUUUGGCUUCUGCAAUCGGAGAGAUUGAGGUCUGCAGCGUAGAUCCUUCGGGGCUAGAUACGUAGAUGCUAAGUUAUAGUUUUUUAUAGACAACUUGUUGACUAUAAUUAAUCAUGUAGCUUACUCGUUUGCGCUAUUUUACCUACGCUUAGGAUGUUGACGAUCAGCUGAGCGCG